UCGUAUUUGGCAUUGACCAUUUGUUUGAGUCGUAUUUGACACGACUAAAAUUGUUGGGGUCGAAAUUGGUAUUUUUCCUCGUAUAUCAAAACGACGUCGUUUUAUUUUGUUAACGGUUGACUAACUUCUAGUAAAGCCAAUGUAUAUUUAGGCACGUUUUAAUAAGUUCAUAUAGUAUUUUUGAAUUAUAAUUGAAUUAAGAUCGUAUUUUGUACUGACCAUUUGUUCGGGUCGUAUUUGGCAUGAUUGAAAUGGUUGGGGUCAAAAUUGACACUUUUUCUAGUUUAAUACACCAUGUGAUUAUGUCACUACUCUAAUAUUCGAUAACUCUAAAAAUUGUUAUUAUUGUCAGUGUACUUUUCUUACAACUUUUGUUUAUGUACUUCAGUAAUAUAAAAGUUAUAAAUUCUUUUGGACUAGUUAGUAACAUAUAUGUUGCUUAAACUAUACUACUAUAGUCGUAUUAGUGAAAUUAUUGGCACCAAACGAAAUGUUUUUAAAAUAUAGGUAAUUUACUUAAACGAGUCGUUGACAUCGUUUUGUUGAAUAUUUUAUAUUUGAUGCAUGUGGUCCUGUUGAGGAAAUUACGCCAUUUUUUUUUUUUUUUUGAAUUAUACAGAGGUAUCCUGGCCUCACAGAAGUGAUCCAGACUAGUCACGUGUUACCACGUGUCGGUCCUCUGUCCCUGGCGAUGCCGAAAUGUUAAUUCCCCAGUGGCCGGGAUUCGAACCCAGGUGGCGGUACUUACAGCUGUAAGCCCUUUACCACUAGAGCUAGAAGCCCCGGUUAUUACGCCAUUUCGUGCGUCAUUUCGUGCGUCACGUUCAUGUUGAUUUAGGCUCCGAAUGGUAAUCAGUUUCUCGACCCGCAGUUAACAGUAACAAAAAUCUUUAUAUAUAUCUUAUAUCUAUACAUUUUUAUAACUGUUAGAACAUCACCGCAAUUAAACUGCUUGUCCCGCACCGCUCAACCCGCAGUCACUAUUCAGAGCCUUAGGACGUAUAACCAAU
rnacentral:lncRNA from 1 species